rnacentral:rRNA from 1 species
CCGAGUUGUAAUUUGAAGAUGGUGUUCUGGUGCCSGCCCCCUGUCUACGUUCCUUGGAACAGGACAUCGCAGAGGGUGAGAAUCCCGUCUGGSGGGGCGGCCUGGCUCCGUGUARAGCGCCAUCGACGAGUCSAGUUGUUUGGGAAUGCAGCUCUAAGUGGGUGGUAAAUUCCAUCUAAAGCUAAAUAUUGGCGAGAGACCSAUAGCGAACAAGUACAGUGAUGGAAAGAUGAAAAGAACUUUGAAAAGAGAGUGAAAAAGUACGUGAAAUUGUUGAAAGGGAAGGGUAUUGGAUCAGACUUGGUGCUGUGCGAAUAGCGGCUCUUCUUGGGCCGCCCACUCGCACUCCACCGGGCCAGCAUCGGUUUGGGCGGCAAGACAAUGGCGGGGGAACGUGGCACUGCUCUCGGGCAGUGUGUUUAUAGCCCCCGCUGAUGUUGCCUGCCUAGACCGAGGACUGCGGCUUCUGCCUAGGAUGCUGGCGUAAUGAUCCAMCACCGCCCGUCUUGAAACACGGACC